rnacentral:piRNA from 1 species
UACAUCAUUUCCACUCUUUAUAUGUGUA